CUCGUAGGCGGUUCAGUAGGUCGGGUGUGAAAACUCUGGGCUCAACCCAGAGACGCCACCCGACACUGCUGUGACUUGAGUACGGUAGGGGAGUGGGGAAUUCCUGGUGUAGCGGUGAAAUGCGCAGAUAUCAGGAGGAACACCAGUGGCGAAGGCGCCACUCUGGGCCGUAACUGACGCUGAGGAGCGAAAGCGUGGGUAGCAAACA
rnacentral:rRNA from 1 species